AGAAAGCCUGGGAAAGAUUGGGGGAGGGUGUUUUCGCCCUGUCUUCAGAUGGAAGAUAAUGAGAGCGGCAUGGAGGAUGAGGCAUCCCUGAUUCAUGUCUGGGAAACCAGUGUCCUUCAGUUUUUCAUCCUGAGCCUGGAGGAAGAUGACUGCAUGUGGAGAGGCAUCUGAUACUCACUCUCCCAGGCUCUCCAGUACUUCUCCUUGCCAGGGCCCCAGCUGUGCCUGCAAUGCCAGGUGGCAUCUCCCUGCUUCUGGUGUCUUCUCCUUGUCGCAAGUGGCCGAUGUCUUUCUUCUCAGCUGCAUGCUUCCCCACCUUUCUGACUCCAGCUUUCCCUCCUGGUUCCUGUUCAUCCUGGAAGCUGACCGCGGGCAACAUGCUGAGUGCCUGGCUCCGCUCAGAUCCAGCAGAGUCCACCAUGCACAAGGCUUCUCAUCCAGAGCUGGACUUCAUUCCUCUUGUUGAAGAUUAUCUCACUUCAAUCACGGUAAUGCUGGGACCUUCCAUAAGUCUCCGGGGAAGACCGGCCUGCUCACCUCGGGGAGGCACAAUCGUCAAUCUCAUUAAACUGCCAACUGCUGCUGACUCAGGCCGAGCUUGGAAAGGGCGCCUGCCUCCCGGCUGCUGCGUGACUUCCCCAGAGGCUGCAUGAGGUGGGAUGAAAAUGCGGAGGUGGACCGGAAAAGAAGAUAUCGCUCCCGCCACGCACUGGGCUACAGCAACAGUGGCACCGGAUGAGACUGUCGCUGGGGUUUGCCUGAGACGGUGGAGACACUGAGAACGGGGGCUUAAGCAAGACAAGUUACUUCACUCAAACCCCGGAGUCUGAACUUGCAUGGAAUUCCACUGUUGGAGACUCACCUCCCUCCCGUUGCUCCACUAUUUUCGGGCGCUUCCGCUCACCUUGUGGUCAGGGAGAGAGUCCCAUCACAUCCGUACUCCAGUCGGCUGGAGGAAGAAUGGAAAGGACAGAGUUCCUGAAAGCUGCCUUUCACGCGUGGGUACUGUACCAGAGCAGGAUGCCUCUAGGGCAGCCAUGUCAUCCGGUAAAAUUCAGGUUAUCUUUUAAAGCAGAAAAUAGAUGUAGAGACAAGUAGAUGGUCCCUAUAACCAAGAUGGAGACAGAGCCCUGCUACAGGAAUUCAGCAUGGAGGCAAAUAGCCCACCAAGCAUAAUAUAUUACAUAUUAUGAUAUAAUAUAAAAUCACCAUUCAUCAGGGAAUAUUUUUGUUUGUUUUUUGAGACGUGGUUUCCAAGUGUAGCCUUGGCUAUCCUGGACUUGCUUUUGUAGACCUGGCUGGCCUCGAACUCAUAGAGAUCUGCCUGCCUCUGCCUCCCAGACUGCUGGUAUAACAGGUGUGUGCCAGUGCGCAGACCUCAUCAAGGAAUUUAUAUUAAGGACCAUAGUGUUAAAGAAAUAGAGGUGAAAGUACAGCCUUUCCUUUGCCACUGAGUUCAUGCCAGAGACAGUUCUUGUUCCCCUUACUAGGGAACCCACUUGAUGAGACCUGAUAGGCUAUGGUCAGAUAGAAAGGGAGGAAGAUUGCCCCUAUCUGUGGGACUAGGGAAGGGGCUUAGGAGAAGAAGAGGGAGGGAGGGAGAGACUGGGAGGAGACAAGGGAGGGGGCCACAGCUGGGAUAUA